rnacentral:lncRNA from 1 species
CCCUUCCAACAUCGCCGUUCCCUUGUAAAAACCCCCCCUCUCGCCCCCUCUCGCUCAGCUUUUACGUUCGGUGCUCGUGAAAAUGAUCGCGAAGAAUCGACAAGGGGAGAGGGAAAAGGGGGAUUAUACACAACGAGAUGCAAGUCUUAAUAUUCACAAUAAGACUCGCUGUGACUGUGCCAACCUUCUUUGUGAAAGUAAAACUGGAGUCGUCGGAAAUAUCGUAUAAAGAAUGUACUUCAAAAGAGAGAAAGAAAUAGAGGAGACAUGGAAGAGACAUGACCGGUCUAGGAGGAUAAAAAAGAGGAUCUCACUACAACAGUACUUCCUCCUCGACCUUCAAGCAGGCCUUCAAAAAAAUUCGUUCCGAGCCCGUCCUCCGUUACCGUUCAUUAACCGACCACCGACGACCUUUAACUUUACCAGACUGCCUGCAGCAUCGAUUGAUUUGCAUACGGGCACGCGGGACCAGUGGAGAACGAGAGAAAAGAACAAAGUCAGAAUCGGAAACCGGAGAAAUGUGAUGUACUCUCGUCAACGACGAUGACACAUACCGAUAUAUAUGCAUUCGAUACAGCACAAAUCGGUCUUUUCUGCACUUCCCUGCAGAGAAAAUGAUAUGUUACUUUUUAAUAGUUUUAUUAUUUUACAGCCAUUUGUCGAUAAAAAAGGCACAGAACACUCUGAUAUCUUUGUCAAGACGUAAGUCGGCUGAAUUUCAUAAGGAUUUCGUGAGAAUUGUGUGUGAAACUCUGCUCUCUCGCACGCACGCGAUUGUUUCGUACGCGCUGACGUAAUGCGCUCCCGACUUUGUGAUUAAAGAAGAGAGUCAGCACCAAUAACUUACCAAUUUAUAUUCUUACCGAGGUAGACAGUGCAGGAAGUGCAAGGCGCCUAGUAUAGUAUACUAUAACGGUAUAACAUGGAAAAUAUACGAAUAUUGCACGCGUAUACGUGUGAGUAUGUGUGUGUGUGUGUAUGUGUGUAUGCGUGCGCACGCGUGUGCGCGCAUAUGUACAUUUCUUUUCUCUUUCUUACAUUCAGUAACAAUAUUUAUAGACAAUGGUCAUUAUGAAUAUUAUAGACGUUGAUUGGAAUGCUAAAUUAUAGGGAAAAUAUUGGAUUUAAAAAAUUGUACAUUAUAUAUUUUCUGAAAGAACACGGAUCCAUAAAUGUGUGAACAAUACGCGUUUUUAUUGUAUGGAUAUUCCAUUGACCAUUUUUUUCAUAUUGAAAAAUUUCCAAGAUUGCAAUCCCCAAUUUUACGGUUUGGGAAUAUUCACUGUUAAAGUCUCCGACAUUGAAAUCUAACGUUAAGUCUAGCAUUCAAAACGUUACUAUCAUCACGAAUUAAUUAAUUAUUAAUCGUUAUUGCUUCCUUCGACCACAGGAAGUGCUUGAGAAAUAGUGCAAAACAGAUGAAGAGAAAACAACAUUUUCCGGCUAUAUUGGUGGCCGUAGAAAGUCGGGCAAAAUGUCAUUUUUUGUCUCUCGACAAACAAUAUAGAACGCAAUUCUAAAAAUUCACAAAGUCGCUUCGUGUGAGAUUUUUCCCAAUUUCAUGGGCACAUGAAGAGAGGAGCUUUUGUGAACUUUUAAAAUUGCAUUCGAUAGCGCUCGUUGAGGCAAAGAAAAUGACACCUCGUUCGACUUUCUACGCCCACCGCGGAAGUGCAUGAAAAAAAUGUCUACAUUUUUUUAACAUGGAGCGCUAAAUUACAAGCACUUCCAAUGAGCGUAGAAAGUCGGACGAGGUGUCGUUUUCUUUGUUCUGACGAGUACUAUCGAAUGCAAUUUUAAAAGUUAAAAAAAAAACUAGUUUAAAUCUAGUUUAAAUUUUUAUUAAUUUUAUGAGCCCAUGAAAAGAUGAAAAUCUAAACCAGGCGCUUUUUUGUGAACUUUUAGAAUUGCAUUCGAUAAUACUUGUCAAAACAAAGAAAAUGAUACCUCGCACGACUUUUUACGACAACCGAAAAUGCCUGAAAAAUUAAUUUCUUUUUUUAAACAAGGAGCACUAGUUUUCGAGCACUUUCGGUGUUCCUAGAAAGUCGGACGAGGUGUCAUUUUCUUUGUCUCGACGAGCGCCAAUGAAUACAUAUCUAAGAGUUCACAAGAAACACCUUCUUCAGAUUCUGCCCAAUUUCAUGGGCUCGAAAUAAGCGAGAUCUAAAGCAGACGUUUUUUGCCAACUUUUAGUAUUGCAUUCGAAUAAGUGGUGGUCGUUGGGACGAAGAAAAUGGUAUCUCAUCCAACUUCCUUCGACCAUCAGACAAGUGUUUAAAGAUCAGUGCAACGUAGUUAAAAAUACACAAUUUAUUUGAGGCACUUCCGGUAGUCACAGAAAGUCAGACAUGUCAGACGACUUCGUCGUCUCGACGACCACUAGAGAAUGCAUUUCUAAAAAUUCCCGUAAGGCGACUGAUUUAAAUCUUUCCCAAUUUCAUGGACGCACGGAAAUAUGGCAAAAUCUAAAUCAAAGGUUUAUUGUGAACUUUUAGAAUUCCAUUCGCUAGUGCUCGUCGAGAAAGAAAGAAAACCUCGACGAUCAACCUUUUCCAACCACUUGAUAUGCUUGAAAAUUAGUGCUCCGUUAAAAUAAAAUAAAAAAAAAUUUUUUUUUCAGACACUUCCAGUGGCUGUAGAAAUUGCAAGAAGGUUAAUUGCAU